rnacentral:rRNA from 1 species
UACGUAGGGUGCGAGCGUUAAUCGGAAUUACUGGGCGUAAAGCGUGCGCAGGCGGUGAUGUAAGACAGGUGUGAAAUCCCCGGGCUUAACCUGGGAACUGCAUUUGUGACUGCAUCGCUGGAGUGCGGCAGAGGGGGAUGGAAUUCCGCGUGUAGCAGUGAAAUGCGUAGAUAUGCGAAGGAACAUCAGUGGCGAAGGCGACUUCCUGGACCAAUACUGACGCUCAGGUGCGAAAGCGUGGGAGCAAACAGG